CUCUGUGAUCAAAGUCAGUUGUACAUUUCAGAGCAGGGAGAGACUGUUAGCUCCAACAGGCAUCGCUGCUGUGCUGAGGUUAACACUCCAGCACCAUGUGUGAACAAAGCAGUAUGUCAUAUCCAGAAACUGAAGCCCAAACUGGAAAACUGGGGCCAACAGGGUGAUAAUGCUCAGCAUGAAACUGCACAUGAAAACAACCACAGUAUCAUUUGGAAUGCCACAGAUGUCCUGAUGGAGGUGAUGAGUUUGAUCGAGUGUCUUGAGUUGGACCGCAGAGAGGCAGAGAAGGCUCUACUGGAAGAAAAGGAGAAAGCAAAGAAACUUUCAGAGAAAUUGCACAGCCUCCGUCUCUGGAAGCAGAAUGAGUUUCUUAUAGCAGUGCAGAAAGGCCAGACUGGAUAUUGAUUACGGCAUGCAAUUUAUGUUCAAACUGUUUUUUCCAGCUCUAACAUUUUACUUCAGGCCCAGUAAUGUGGUAAUAAAGUGUAUUCUAUUCUAUUCUAUUACAAUGUACAGUCAAAAAUAUUCAACAGGGUCAUCAAAAACACAAAAAUGGCUUGAGGAGCACAAAUAUAAAG
rnacentral:lncRNA from 1 species